GCCACUAGUAAAAAAAUUUGUGGUGUAACCUGCCCAGUGUAAUAAAAUUAACGGCCGCGGUAUUCUGACCGUGAUAAUGUAGCAUAAUAAUUCGUCAUCUAAUUGGUGAAUAGUAUGAAUGGUUGAACGAACUUUCCCUUGUCUUUAACUGAGGAAACUGAAAUUAAGAUAAUAGUUAAGAUGCUAUUUAAGACUGAAAGACGAAAAGACCCUAUAGAGCUUGACUAUAAAAAAAUAAAUUUUGGUAGUUUAGUUGGGGCGACUGCCUUUUAAUAAUAACAAAGGCAAAUAAAAAAAAAUUAACAAUAAAGAAAUUACUGUAUAAGAUAUUACUUUAACAGUUAUAAAAGUAGAUAUAAUGACCGGUUGAGAAACAAUAAAUUAAUAAAAGCUACCUUAGGGAUAACAGAACAAUUAUUAGUAAGAGAUCUUAUCGAAUUAAUAGUUUGUCACCUCUAUGUUGAAUUAAGAUUACCUGUAGGGGCAGCACCUUACAAAGGUAGGUCUGUUCGACCUUUAAAAUCUU
rnacentral:rRNA from 1 species